rnacentral:misc_RNA from 1 species
UGUAUUUUGAGAAUUUGCCGCGAAAAGACCAGAGAAUCGACGAAAAAUGCUGACCAAACUGUUGAAGAUUAGCUGCACUUCGAGGCAGUGCACCUUUGCCAAGCCGUAUCAGGCGAUUCCAGGACCACGAGGACCCUUUGGUAUGGGUAAUCUAUACAACUACCUGCCCGGAAUCGGAUGCUAUUCCUGGCUAAGAUUGCACCAAGCCGGCCAGGAUAAGUAUGAGAAGUAUGGCGCAAUUGUGCGGGAAACUAUAGUUCCCGGACAGGACAUCGUCUGGUUGUACGAUCCCAAGGACAUAGCUUCACUGCUCAACGAGCGGGACUGUCCGCAGCGAAGAAGUCACCUGGCACUGGCCCAAUAUCGCAAGAACAGACCGGAAGUCUACAAAACCACCGGCUUGUUGCCCACCAAUGGUCCGGAAUGGUGGCGUAUACGCGCCCAGGUGCAAAAGGAGCUGAGUGCUCCUAAGAGCGUGCGGAACUUUGUUCGUCAAGUGGAUGGAGUGACCAAGGAGUUCCUUGGGUUUCUGCAAGAAUCUAGCGAUGGCGGUGCCAUUGAUAUGCUGCCCAUGCUCACCAGACUGAAUUUGGAAUUAACCUGUCUGCUUACCUUUGGAGCUCGACUGCAGUCCUUUUCUCCCCAGGAACAAGCUCCUGAAUCGCGAUCCACCCGCUUGAUGGAUGCAGCUGAGACCACAAACAGCUGCAUCCUGCCCACAGAUCAGGGGCUCCAACUGUGGCGAUUCCUGGACACACCCAGCUUUCGAAAACUCAGCCAGGCCCAAUCCUACAUGGAGGCAGUGGCCCUGGAGUUGGUGGAGGAGAAUGUGAGGAAUGGUUCAGUGGGAUCUUCACUGAUCUCGGCGUACAUAAGGAAUCCCGAACUUGAUCGCAGUGAUGUGGUGGGCACUGCAGCAGAUUUACUCCUGGCUGGCAUCGAUACCACCUCGUAUGCCUCGGCAUUCCUGCUCUACCACAUAGCUCGAAAUCCGGAGGUGCAGCAGAAACUGCACGAGGAAGCCAAGAGAGUGCUUCCGUGUACCAAGGAUGAGCUCUCCAUGGAUGCCUUGCGAACUGAUAUCACCUAUACGAGGGCUGUGCUCAAGGAAUCACUUCGCUUGAAUCCCAUUGCGGUGGGCGUGGGCAGGAUUCUAAACCAGGAUGCCAUCUUCAGUGGCUACUUUGUGCCCAAGGGGACCACCGUGGUGACCCAGAACAUGGUAGCCUGCCGCCUGGAGCAGCACUUUCAGCAACCCCUGCGCUUCCAACCAGAUCGCUGGCUCCAGCACCGCAGUGCCCUCAAUCCCUACCUGGUCCUCCCCUUCGGACACGGAAUGCGGGCCUGCAUCGCCCGCCGUUUGGCGGAGCAGAAUAUGCACAUUUUGCUUCUCAGGCUGUUGCGUGAAUACGAAUUGGUUUGGAGCGGUACCGACGAUGAGAUGGAUGUCAAGACCCUGUUGAUAAAUAAACCCGAUGCUCCAGUGCUGAUCGAUCUGCGAUUGCGUAGGGAAUAAGUAUGUGACUGUAUUAAGACUGAGAUACCAGACUUGCUUCACUUUUAAAUAAUUCGUUUAUUAAUUAGUUUAAAUUAGUUCAUAAUUAUAAUUAGUGUAAAUUAUAUAUAACUAAUAACUAGACUUGCAUUUAAUGUGAUUGAAAGGCUGCGGGUGUUUUGGUCUAAGUACUAAAGAGAACGACAAAAAGGCAUUCAUCGAAAAUUCUUCCAAAGGGGUAUACUAGAUAGGGUUGCCAAAUACUCGAACAUAGGGCGUGUGGGUUGUCAAUCCACAGAAGAUUGCUUAUUUUGUUAACCAGAUACAUAUUUUCCUCGAGUAUUUUGUGCUUUUUCCUUUUUGUAUAUAUGUUUUCGGCUUGACAACCCAUUUCCGGGGCUUUAGUGUGUAAUUAUGCUUGACUAAAUACAUAUUCCAGUACAAUGUUUAGUUUAAAUAUAUACUCGUAAUGCAGUUCGUUUCUAUAUAUGGCUCUUUAAAAGUGGUCCGUCCAAUCCCCUACUUUCAGUACUCCCUUCUUGCCUUAAGCUCAACUCGAGUGAAAAUCGCACAUAUACAAACUAUAUAGACUACUACCUGUUUCGCUCUCGUCCAAGAUCAAGUCAAAAAUAUAUUCUGAUCUAA